rnacentral:lncRNA from 1 species
AAGGAAGGGAAGAUUGUGGACAAAGUGACGGGAGCAAAGAAAGAAGAGCUUCAGCAGACUGUGAUAAAGCAUAUGGCUGCCACCAGUACUACUUCUUCAGCUUGAUUUUAUGAUAAUUAUUAGUUCAACUGUUUUUAUCUUUAAUGUUUGGAGGAACUUGACCUCAUGAUUAUGUCCUGCUACAUCUCUUAUGUUAUUAGACCUUAAGUUUCUUUAUCUAUGGAUCUUUCAUUUUAUUUAAAGCAUGCAUAUAUUAUCAGCGUUCUUCGUUCUUUACGGUAUCUAGUAUACGUUUUUUAAACUAUCUUAUAGCAUUUUAGCUUUACAGUAUCAAGGAAGGGAAGAUUGUGGACAAAGUGACGGGAGCAAAGAAAGAAGAGCUUCAGCAGACUGUGAUAAAGCAUAUGGCUGCCACCAGUACUACUUCUUCAGCUUGAUUUUAUGAUAAUUAUUAGUUCAACUGUUUUUAUCUUUAAUGUUUGGAGGAACUUGACCUCAUGAUUAUGUCCUGCUACAUCUCUUAUGUUAUUAGACCUUAAGUUUCUUUAUCUAUGGAUCUUUCAUUUUAUUUAAAGCAUGCAUAUAUUAUCAGCGUUCUUCGUUCUUUACAGUAUCUAGUAUACGUUUU